rfam:Oryctolagus cuniculus unplaced genomic scaffold chrTn0020, whole genome shotgun sequence.
GGGGCUGUGGCACAGCGGGUUAAUGCCCUGGCCUGAGGCGCCAGCAUCCCAUAUGGGCAUCGGUUCGAGUCCUGGCUGCUCCA